rnacentral:rRNA from 1 species
UGGGGAAUCUUCCGCAAUGGACGAAAGUCUGACGGAGCAACGCCGCGUGAGUGAAGACGGCCUUCGGGUUGUAAAGCUCUGUGAUCCGGGACGAAAGAGCCUGAGGUGAAAAGCCUAAGGAAGUGACGGUACCGGAAAAGCAAGCCACGGCUAACUACGUGCCAGCAGCCGCGGUAAUACGUAGGUGGCAAGCGUUGUCCGGAAUUAUUGGGCGUAAAGCGCGCGCAGGCGGCUUCCUAAGUCCAUCUUAAAAGUGCGGGGCUUAACCCCGUGAUGGGAUGGAAACUGGGAAGCUGGAGUAUCGGAGAGGAAAGUGGAAUUCCUAGUGUAGCGGUGAAAUGCGUAGAGAUUAGGAAGAACACCGGUGGCGAAGGCGACUUUCUGGACGAAAACUGACGCUGAGGCGCGAAAGCGUGGGGAGCAAACAGG